rnacentral:rRNA from 1 species
UACGUAGGGGGCAAGCGUUGUUCGGAUUUACUGGGCGUAAAGGGCGCGUAGGCGGCCAGUGCAAGUCAGUUGUGAAAUCUCCGAGCUUAACUCGGAAAGGUCAACUGAUACUGCUCGGCUAGAGUGCGGAAGGGGCAACUGGAAUUCUUGGUGUAGCGGUGAAAUGCGCAGAUAUCAGGAGGAACACCAAUGGCGAAGGCAGCUCGCUGGGACGUGACUGACGCUGAGACGCGAAAGCGUGGGGAGCAAACAGG